rnacentral:rRNA from 1 species
UAGGGAAUCUUCCACAAUGGACGCAAGUCUGAUGGAGCAACGCCGCGUGAGUGAAGAAGGUUUUCGGAUCGUAAAGCUCUGUUGUUGGUGAAGAAGGAUAGAGGCAGUAACUGGUCUUUAUUUGACGGUAAUCAACCAGAAAGUCACGGCUAACUACGUGCCAGCAGCCGCGGUAAUACGUAGGUGGCAAGCGUUGUCCGGAUUUAUUGGGCGUAAAGCGAGCGCAGGCGGAAUGAUAAGUCUGAUGUGAAAGCCCACGGCUCAACCAUGGAACUGCAUCGGAAACUGUCAUUCUUGAGUGCAGAAGAGGAGAGUGGAAUUCCAUGUGUAGCGGUGGAAUGCGUAGAUAUAUGGAAGAACACCAGUGGCGAAGGCGGCUCUCUGGUCUGCAACUGACGCUGAGGCUCGAAAGCAUGGGUAGCGAACAGG